rnacentral:rRNA from 1 species
CCUACGGGAGGCAGCAGUGAGGAAUAUUGGUCAAUGGACGAGAGUCUGAACCAGCCAAGUAGCGUGAAGGAUGACUGCCCUAUGGGUUGUAAACUUCUUUUAUAUGGGAAUAAAAUGUUCCACGUGUGGGCUUUUGUAUGUACCAUAUGAAUAAGGAUCGGCUAACUCAGUGCCAGCAGCCGCGGUAAUACGGAGGAUCCGAGCGUUAUCCGGAUUUAUUGGGUUUAAAGGGAGCGUAGGUGGAUUGUUAAGUCAGUUGUGAAAGUUUGCGGCUCAACCUGAAAAUUGCAGUUGAAACUGGCAGUCUUGAGUACAGUAGAGGUGGGCAGAAUUCGUGGUGUAGCGGUGAAAUGCUUAGAGAUCACGAAGAACUCCGAUUGCGAAGGCAGCUCACUGGACUGCAACUGACACUGAGGCUCGAAAGUGUGGGUAUCAAACAGGAUUAGAUACCCCGGUAGUC